rnacentral:snRNA from 1 species
AUUAUUUUUCUAAAAAAAAAAAAAAAAAAAAUCUGUUCUUAUCAGUUUAUAUCUGAUACGUCCCUCGGGGACCACAUAUCAAAUCGAUUUUCGAACAGGGAGAGUCGGAAAUGGGGCUUUACUCCGUCCGCUCCACGAAUCGACUUGCAGUACCUCCGGAAUGGUGCAACACUU